rnacentral:rRNA from 1 species
UACGGGGGAGCAAGCGUUGUUCGGAUUUACUGGGCGUAAAGGGCGCGUAGGCGGCCACCGCAAGUCAAUUGUGAAAUCUCCGGGCUUAACUCGGAAAGGUCAACUGAUACUGCGGGGCUAGAGUGCGGAAGGGGCAACUGGAAUUCUCGGUGUAGCGGUGAAAUGACGUAGAUAUCGAGAGGAACACCUGCGGCGAAGGCGG